rnacentral:lncRNA from 1 species
CAGUGAAAUCAAAAGUGAUAGCAACUAUGUAAAGGCACUGCGGUCAAAUAAGAAAAUGUUAAGAGCAGAUACCUCAUUUAUUCCCAGCUUUCCUCUCUUGGUGUUCUUCCAUGAGAACUGGGCCUAGCAAAGCAUUUAAAACCAUGAGUCAAUUAAGAGAAAGUUAUGUUGUGGCCAAAACAUGUAAAAGCGUCAAUUCUGUUGUGCAAUGUUCAGUACUUUGUGAGCUUCCCUCGUUUCCUACAUUGUGAAUUUUCCAACUCUGUUACCUGCAAGAUGAAACACGGACAUAGACAUUUGAUGUAAAUAGUAUUUGCCCAUUCUUUGCAUUAGUUCUAACUUCUAAAUAGGCAUACAACAGUGCAAGCAUACAUCCAUGUGCCAGUCAUACUAAAUUCUCACGGAAAGUUCCCCAAAUAAACACUAUAUAUGUUUCCUGGAAAAGCUGUAAGGCCCCAUUCGUAUGCUUCAGUUAGUAUAAAAAUUCAUCUAAAUCACCCAAUUCUAAUGGCUCAUAGUUCCAGAUUUGGAGAAAAAAAAUGAAGGGUGGAGAAGAGGCUAAAAGACUAGAGCCUUAACCUUGUUCGGGGCUAGCGGUCGUUGAGGAAACCAACGUGCCGCAGGUGAUCCGGGACGGCGGAUGCAGGCACGUAGUGGUAUCUUCUGGACGCCAUGGUGCCGCGGUAAGUUGAGGAUGGGCGUGG